rnacentral:rRNA from 1 species
GACGAACGCUGGCGGCGUGCCUAAUACAUGCAAGUCGAGCGCAGGAAACUGACGGAACUCUUCGGAGGGAAGGCAGUGGAAUGAGCGGCGGACGGGUGAGUAACACGUAAGGAACCUGCCUCAAGGAUUGGGAUAACUCCGAGAAAUCGGGGCUAAUACCGGAUAGUUCAACGGACCGCAUGGUCCGCUGACGAAAGGCGCUCCGGCGUCACCUUGAGAUGGCCUUGCGGUGCAUUAGCUAGUUGGUGGGGUAACGGCCCACCAAGGCGACGAUGCAUAGCCGACCUGAGAGGGUGAUCGGCCACACUGGGACUGAGACACGGCCCAGACUCCUACGGGAGGCAGCAGUAGGGAAUCUUCCACAAUGGACGAAAGUCUGAUGGAGCAACGCCGCGUAAGUGAUGAAGGUUUUCGGAUCGUAAAACUCUGUUGUAAGGGAAGAACACGUACGAGAGGAAAUGCUCGUACCUUGACGGUACCUUACGAGAAAGCCACGGCUAACUACGUGCCAGCAGCCGCCGUAA